rnacentral:lncRNA from 1 species
AUGGAGCGUGACAGCGGCUUCAACUUCUUUUCACAGCUGCCGUCGGUUCUGGGCUCGUCAGCCGCUAGCUUCAACAUCUACUCUCAGGUGUCUUCGAGCAGCGCCGCCCACGCUCCCAGGGCGGGCCUUGAUGGACUUGACCUCAACUUCAACUUACAGGGGGCCGAGGAGUUCCCUCAUAUCGGGGAAUAUGAGAACUACCUUCAGUCCGGUGGCGACCAAGGAGGAAGUACCACGCGGGGCUCUGGUCUCCCUACCCUUCGCACACAGCGCACACUGGGAGUACGCAACCUGUGGAUGGAAGAGGAGCAUGUUGAAGAUGCAUGGGGAGAUGAUGCUUCAGAGGACGUUGCAACUCCUAUGAGUACAGAUACUCGCAAGACCAAGAGUCAACAAGUGAUCCAACAAGCACACUUUGUGAAAAUGGAAUCUAAAAAAGAGAAGGAAUACUUUUCAGUGAAGAAGUGUCAAGAGCUGGCUUUUGAGUGUGGGAUAGAGCAUGAUAGUGCUGAGGUGUAUGCAAUGGGCAAGAUGUUCCAAGAUCCUUUCCAGCGGGAAUUCUUCUGCGGGCAAUGGACAAAUGAGGAAGGCGGUGAUGCAUCAAGUGAUGAUGGAGGCAGCACAUCAUCAAGUGAGGAUGAGCUUCUGUCGAUGGCCCUCAACAAUUUGAAGACGGCCUAGGAAUUGAUUC